rnacentral:antisense_RNA from 1 species
GUUUAUGGCGGGCCGUAGUGGGGGAGCCGCAAGGCUCACCGGUUCCCUGUGCACCGGCACGCCAACCCCGCUACUGGCCUGCCACCCUC